rnacentral:rRNA from 1 species
UACAGAGGGUGCGAGCGUUGUCCGGAAUCACUGGGCGUAAAGGGCGCGUAGGUGGUGACCUAAGCGUGCGGUGAAAGCCCGAGGCUCAACCUCGGGUCGGCCGUGCGAACUGGGUCACUGGAGCAGAAUAGAGGCAGGUGGAAUUCCGGGUGUAGCGGUGGAAUGCGCAGAUAUCAGGAGGAACACCGGUGGCGAAGGCGGGUCUCUGGGCAGUAACUGACGCUGAGGAGCGAAAGCGUGGGGAGCGAACAGG